rnacentral:rRNA from 1 species
GAUGAACGCUGGCGGCGUGCCUAAUACAUGCAAGUCGAGCGAACAGACGAGGAGCUUUCUCCUCGGACGUGAUCGGCGGACGGGUGAGUAACACGUGGAUAACCUACCUCUAAGACUGGGAUAACUUCGGGAAACCGGAGCUAAUACCAGGUAAUAUAUUGAACCGCAUGGUUCAAUAGUGAAAGACGGUUUUGCUGUCACUUGUAGAUGGAUCCGCGCCGCAUUAGCUAGUUGGUAAGGUAACGGCUUACCAAGGCAACGAUGAGUAGCCGACCUGAGAGGGUGAUGGGCCACACUGGAACUGAGACACGGUCCCGAAUCCUACGGGAGGCAGCAGUAGGGAAUCUUCCGCAAUGGGCGAAAGACUGACGGAGCAACGACGCGUGAGUGAUGAAGGUCUUCGGAUCGUAAAACUCUGUUAUUAGGGAAGAACCAAUGUGUAAGUAACUAUGCACGUCUUGACGGUACCUAAUCAGAAAGCCACGGCUAACUACGUG